AGUCUAGCAUGUGCGCGAGUCAUUGGGACUCAAUAAACCUAAAGGCGCAAUGAAAGUGAAAGUCUGUUUACGCGGACUGAGGGAAGAUAGGUGUCGUACACAUUGUGUACAGCCUCGCACUCCCGGGGCGUCUCGCACUCACUGCGAGGUGGGGCGCACCAAGAGCGUACACGCUGGGACCCGAAAGAUGGUGAACUAUGCCUGGUCAGGAUGAAGUCAGGGGAAACCCUGAUGGAGGUCCGUAGCGAUUCUGACGUGCAAAUCGAUCGUCGGAACUGGGCUUAGGGGCGAAAGACUAAUCGAACCAUCUAGUAGCUGGUUCCCACCGAAGUUUCCCUCAGGAUAGCUGGCACUAGAUUAUGGAUGAGUCUCAUCCGGUAAAGCGAAUGAUUAGAGGCAUUGGGGUCGAAACGGCCUCAACCUAUUCUCAAACUUUAAAUGGGUGAGAUCUCCGGCUUGCUCGAUUCGUGAAGCCGGAGAUCGGAUCAAUUAGUGCCAAGUGGGCCACUUUUGGUAAGCAGAACUGGCGCUGUGGGAUGAACCAAACGCAGAGUUAAAGCGCCAAAAUCGACGCUUAUGGGAUACCAUGAAAGGCGUUGGUAACUUAAGACAGCAGGACGGUGGCCAUGGAAGUCG
rnacentral:rRNA from 1 species